rnacentral:rRNA from 1 species
UACGUAGGGGGCUAGCGUUGUCCGGAUUUAUUGGGCGUAAAGAGCGCGUAGGCGGUCCGGUAAGUCGGUUGUGAAAACUGGGGGCUCAACCCUCAGAGGCCGACCGAUACUGCUGGGCUAGAGUCCGGAAGAGGCGAGUGGAAUUCCUGGUGUAGCGGUGAAAUGCGCAGAUAUCAGGAGGAACACCAAUGGCGAAGGCGAGUCCCUGGACAACACCUGACACUGAGGCACGAAAGCUAGGGGAGCAAACAGG